UACAGAGGGGGCAAGCGUUGUUCGGAAUUACUGGGCGUAAAGGGCGCGUAGGCGGCCAACUAAGUCGGACGUGAAAUCCCUCAGCUUAACUGGGGAACUGCGUCCGAUACUGGAUGGCUUGGAUUUGGGAGAGGGAUGCGGAAUUCCAGGUGUAGCGGUGAAAUGCGUAGAUAUCUGGAGGAACACCGGUGGCGAAGGCGGCAUCCUGGACCAAUAUUGACGCUGAGGCGCGAAAGCGUGGGGAGCAAACAGG
rnacentral:rRNA from 1 species